rnacentral:lncRNA from 1 species
AUGGCCGUAACGAGCAACGAUACCCAGGAACACUCCGAUUCAAAAAAAACAAAUAAAUCGAGCCACAAAAGGGGAAGUGAUGAUGAAGAAACGUGUGGUGCCACUUCUUCCUGUGAGCCCUUUCGAGAAGAUGGAGGAGUGAUGGAAAUUGGAGUCAGGGCUGAGAUACCAGCAGGGGCCAGGGGCACAGGAGCUGGAAACUUGGAGGUGUUGAAGAUGCCAACUCAAGAUCUGGGCAUGGAACAUGACAGCAUUUUAAAGAGGUCCUCUGCCAUCCCCGAUUUCUUCAGUGACGAUGGCGAUUUGAACACCACCGGAAUGACAGAGCAAGACACCGUUCCUGAAAGGAUGCAAGUAUUUCAGGACUCAGGUCUGGAGGACACUGCAGUGAAGGACUCCAAGAGUCCCAACAGUUCAUUUGGGACUUUGGGAUCUGUUCGCACUUUGCCGUUUCCUGCUGGAUCGCAGGAUACUAUGGAAAACCAAGGGCCGGAGCAGGAGCUCCUAGCUUCAGACACAGAUAAGCAGGAAAGCGCAGAGGAAGAGCACGAUCAGAGAUCUCCAGAUCCCGAUAAGCCGAAGCCGCUCCCAAAUCCUGAUAGUUUCCUCGAGGCGAGGGUGGAAGCUCCAAAGGAAGCCAAGCCUGAACGUCCUGGAAAGAAAUCCGGAGGGAAAGAAAAAUCGGAGAAGGCGAGAAGGAAGAAAGGGAAGAGGGGUCAAUCAGAAAACUCUUCGCAACUCUGGGAAAAAAUGGCUCAAUACUUGGUCUCUGUCCUGCUGCCCAUCUCUCUGAAGAUCGCGAAGACCUGCUGGAAAGGAAGCACCUCAAAAUCGAGGGGCAAGGUCCUGAAACGACCAGGGAGGCCACAGACAGGAAAAGCCAGUUGUCUUAUCACAUGCAUAUUUCUCUUAUCAUUGCUGAGAACCGCUUGCUGUGGUGUACUGGCUUGCCCUGGAGACGUUGUGAAACUACAUUUCAACCUCACUGGUAAUUUAAAAGGACAUGUUUCGCUUAUUAACAGCACUUCCAACAUCUACUUUUACUACACUCAACAUCAGCCCAAUACGUGUCGCCCAGAGGUGUUAGAAAAAUUUGAACCAUGCUUGUCCAAGGAUGGCGAAACUCUCUACCUGACCAGGAUCGCAUCAAAGUCCACUGCAAUCAAAUACACCCUGGAGUAUGAGACUGAUGAAGGAGCUUCUGUAACCAUGUCUCUCUCUCUGUCCUUGAAAAAUUGUUCCGAUGACAAGCAUCCCACACCCACGCCACCUACCUCUACUCCAUCUCCCCUUAAGACUGACUGGGCAGCUACACCUGUCUUCAUUACAGUGGCUUUCGUCUUUCUUGGAUCCUUGAUUGUGGGGCUGAUUUUAAGACACCGCUGUAAGAAGUAAGUGUGACUGAAUCGGUUUUCUGAUUGUGUUGAUAUUGUAUGGGAUUCUGCUAUUUCAGAAGCCAGACCAGGUGUAGUGCAAGUGCUCACAUUACUCCUGUCCUGGAGUCCUUACACUGGCUUCCUCUCAGGUUUCGUGUUGACUUCGACGGCUCGACAUGGCUUGGCAACAUGAGCUAUUUGACUUACUAUCAUUCCACUGUCCACCUCGAAACCUUCAUUCGUCUGAUUCUGGUCUUGUGUCUGUCCCCCAAGCUAUCUUACACUCUAUUAUUCAUAAUAAUUUAUUAAGAAUUUACAUUAUGUAGUAUACCGAGGCAUAUGAGAAGACUGGACUUACACAUCAAGCAUCCAUCCUGGUCUGUCGAUUCAGAUUUGUGAUCAGGGUAUGGGGAAUGUGGAAAAUGUCCCAUCAAGUCUGAAACAAAUCAAGAAAUCCAGCAUCACCUGAAGUGUGAGGAACUUCAAUGUGCAAUUAAGGCUAGAAUAAAUCGUUCGAUACUGCCCUCUAGUGUCUAGCCUGGAGAAAUAACAGGUGAUUUCAGAGGACGGUUGAAGGAAACAAGUUUUUUUUUUUUAUUUUGACUCAGAACAGGUAAGGUAUAUGGAUUUUGUCAGUCAGCUGUAGUCUAUUUCAUGUGAGAGAGCUGAAAGUCCACAUUGUGGUUUGAAAGACAGAAAUUAAAUUUCCUGUUGACAGAAAGCAAUAAAGAACUUCCCUGGUGACAGAAAAGAUAUCGUAAUUCCAGAAUGGAAGUUGAAAACUGAUUAGGUAGACAAUUAUGGCUAACGUGCAGGAGGAUACAGUACAAUCGUGCUAAGCCAGUGUGCAUGGUGAUGAACAGAAUUGUGCAGUGUGUUUUGGGGUUCUUAACCUCAUUCUCUUUUGAUCUUUCUAGGAAGAAAAUGUCAGGUGGAUGCAACACAGUGUUGUGUUAUUCACACAAUAGUGCCUCACAAGAGGAAACCACACAGGAUGGGUAAUUAAUCUUCUGUCUUCACCUAUUCACAUUAAUUUAAACAAAACAUGUUUCCAGAAGCCUAGUAUGCAGAAAAGUGAAAUUUAAGAGAAAAUUACAUUUUGACUUGAAGGAAAACAUAACACUACACUUGACAGAUACACACAGCUCUUUUAUAGUUGAAAGGAUAAGAAGAACUGUAAGGAUUUGUUAAUCUCCUAUUAGCUCGCUAUACAAUAAGUGCUCUCAGACAUUCAGUCAUAAAGCUUGAGCACGUGAAUUUUCUCAGUGCUUGUGUGCAUUUGCCUGAACUUCCAUGAGAUCAGGUUCAUGCAGAUUUUUUUUGUCACUCUAUGUGCUAAGCCUGAAAAAUAUUUGAUUGGGUUUUCUUGCAUUCUGUUGUUAUAAUUAGUUUCAAAAUAAUGCAGUGUAUAGAUCCAUGACUAAGGCUAGGAAAAAUGAAAAAAUGCACUUUAGCAUGGAAAUGUAGAUUAAAACUUGCAUAGCAUUACAAAAAAACAGCUUGACUAUGAAACACAUACCCAACCUUAUGGCUCAUCUGAUUUAUCCCGUACUACCUUACAUCAUGAAUACUCAUGCCAUUCAUCCUUCCUGCAGGCAAGCGAUGAAUCGGAUGUUAAACUGAAAUCCGACUGAUUCUUCAGCAGUGGAUGCUGUAACUCGGACAACAGGAAGCCAGUCUUUGGAAUGAGCUGUAGCUCCAGGUUUGCCUGGCUAGGCCUGGCCUCCACCAUGCUGUUCCUGAAUUGGUUAAAUGAUGAAUUAUACUGAAUUCUAAUAUUAGUAAGGACUGUAAAAUAAAUACCAGUCUGCUUUUCACACCUCCUUUUGAGCCUUGGUUCCUCGCAAGGUUUCUUCUUCCUGUAAUGUGAGGGAGUUUUUCCUGGCCACUGUCGCCUUCGGCUUGCUCACUGGGAGCUCAGGCCCAGGAGUCUGUGAAGCGCUUUUUACAAUGUCACAAGGCAGUGUGGUGGCAUGGCUGCCUCACUGUGUGAGUGCACUGUUUGUAAUUCCAGGGCUUUACAAACAGUGGAGCAUGUACUGUAGGUUUUCUCCUGGUGCUCUGGUCCAGAGACAUACUGGGAAGUGAAUUGGCUUCUGCCCUCCCAUGAACUGGUCCCCCAUCCAGGGUAUACACUUCCUUAUGCCCGGACACUGGAAUAUCUCCCAACUCUUCUUGAGAAAUGCCUGGCCAUCAUUAAUGAUCGCUGAGAGUCAGGACCUCGGUUUAACAUCUCAUCCCAAAGAUGGUGCACACUACAGUAGAGUGUCCCUGCCAUUAUACUGGGGCAUUAGGCACUGGUCCCACUAACACCACUUCCAACAGCAACCAUAGCUUCCCAGGAGGUCACCCACUGACCAGCCUCAACCCUGCUGAGCUUCAGUGGGUGGCCAGCUGAGUGCUGCAGGGUGAUACAGCUGCUGGCUGUAACCCCGUCUGCUUGUGCUUUGUUAUCUAUAAGCAAAUCAUAUAAAUAAUUACGAGCUUCUGCUUAUUAAAUGUAUAUCUGCUUCAUAGUGGUGUAUCGUUUUCCUUAGAUCCGUUACUUCGCUUUUCCAAGGGAAUUUAGUCGAUUGUGUACACUCAACGCGAUAGUUUGUUUUACAUAUCUUAUGCGUUUUAUUCUGCUGUUAUUGUUCUCUUUCCUAGUUGUUGAUACUACUGAAACUGAAAAUAAAAAACUUUGUUUUUCAACAUUUCUCAUGGUCGCUCUUUUGUACUUGACUUUCCCAGACAGUUGCAGGAAAAAAAAAAACGUAUUCGGCGUUGUCACAACAGAUCCAGUCUCAACUAGACGGUGGUUUAGGAAAUUACCUGAACAUGUUGCAAUAUCUUCAGUUCAGCGGCCUGAACUAAAAUUCCAUGAUAAACUUUUUCUAGUAUCA